AACGAACGCUGGCGGCAUGCCUAACACAUGCAAGUCGAACGAUUGCCUUCGGGUUGUAGUGUCGCACGGGUGCGUAACGCUUAGUAAUCUGCCCUUAGGUUCGGAAUAACAGCUGGAAACGGCUGCGAAUACCGGAUUAUAUCGCGAGAUCAAAGAUUUAUCGCCUGAGGAUGAGCCCGCGUUUGAUUAGGUAGUUGGUGGGGUAAAGGCAUACCAAGCCGACGAUCCAUAGCUGGUCUGAGAGGAUGCUCAGCCACACCGGGAAUGAGACACGGCCCACACUGCUACGGGAGGCAGCAGUGGGGAAUAUUGGACAAUGGGGGCAAGCGUGAUCCAGCAAUGCCGCGUGAGUGAUGAAGGCCCUAGGGUUGUACAGCUAUUUUACAAGGGAAGAUAAUGACUGUACCGGGAGAAUAAGCCCCGGCUAACUACGUG
rnacentral:rRNA from 1 species